GUAACAAGGUUUCCGUAGGUGAACCUGCGGAAGGAUCAUUACCGAGUGAGGGCCCUUUGGGUCCAACCUCCCACCCGUGUUUAUUUUACCUUGUUGCUUCGGCGGGCCCGCCUUUACUGGCCGCCGGGGGGCUCACGCCCCCGGGCCCGCGCCCGCCGAAGACACCCCCGAACUCUGUCUGAAGAUUGAAGUCUGAGUGAAAAUAUAAAUUAUUUAAAACUUUCAACAACGGAUCUCUUGGUUCCGGCAUCGAUGAAGAACGCAGCGAAAUGCGAUACGUAAUGUGAAUUGCAAAUUCAGUGAAUCAUCGAGUCUUUGAACGCACAUUGCGCCCCCUGGUAUUCCGGGGGGCAUGCCUGUCCGAGCGUCAUUGCUGCCCUCAAGCCCGGCUUGUGUGUUGGGCCCCGUCCUCCGAUUCCGGGGGACGGGCCCGAAAGGCAGCGGCGGCACCGCGUCCGGUCCUCGAGCGUAUGGGGCUUUGUCACCCGCUCUGUAGGCCCGGCCGGCGCUUGCCGAUCAACCCAAAUUUUUAUCCAGGUUGACCUCGGAUCAGGUAGGGAUACCCGCUGAACUUAAGCAUAUCAAUAA
rnacentral:misc_RNA from 1 species